UAGAGGUCCGCCUGCCCGUGACUAAAUGUUUAACGGCCGCGGUAUUUUGACCGUGCAAAGGUAGCGCAAUCACUUGUCUUUUAAAUGAAGACCUGUAUGAAUGGCAUCACGAGGGCUUAACUGUCUCCUUUCUUUAGCCAAUGAAAUUGAUCUUCCCGUGCAGAAGCGGGAAUAAGAACAUAAGACGAGAAGACCCUAUGGAGCUUUAGACACUAAGGCAGCUUACGUCAAAAAUUCCUGAAUAAAGGACGUGAACUAAAUAGGACCUGCCCUAAUGUCUUCGGUUGGGGCGACCCCGGGGAAACAAAUAACCCCCACGAGGAAUCGGAAGCAUGCUUCCGAAGCCAAGAGCCACUACUCUAAGAAUCAGAACUUCUGACCAACUGAUCCGGCCAAGCCGAUUAACGGACCGAGUUACCCUAGGGAUAACAGCGCAAUCCCCUUAUAGAGUCCCUAUCGACAAGGGGGUUUACGACCUCGAUGUUGGAUCAGGACAUCCUAAUGGUGCAGCCGCUAUUAAGGGUUCGUUUGUUCAACGAUUAAAGUCCUACGUGAUCUG
rnacentral:rRNA from 1 species